rnacentral:rRNA from 1 species
ACGGCGAGUGAACCGAGGAAGAGCUCAAAUUUGAAAUCUGGCGUGCUCAGUGCGUCCGAGUUGUAAUCUAUAGAGUCGUUUUCCGUGCCGGACUGUGUCCAAGUCCCUUGGAACAGGGUAUCAAAGAGGGUGAUAAUCCCGUACUUGACACAAUGACCGGUGCUCUGUGAUACGUCUUCUACGAGUCGAGUUGUUUGGGAAUGCAGCUCAAAAUGGGUGGUGAGUUCCAUCUAAAGCUAAAUAUUGGCGAGAGACCGAUAGCGAACAAGUACCGUGAGGGAAAGAUGAAAAGCACUUUGGAAAGAGAGUUAAACAGUACGUGAAAUUGUUAAAAGGGAAACGAUUGAAGUCAGUCGUGACUGAGAGGCUCAGCCGGUUCUGCCGGUGUAUUCCCCUCAGUCGGGUCAACAUCAGUUUUGUUCGGUGGAUAAGGGCAGUUGGAAGGUGGCACCCUCGGGUGUGUUAUAGCCAGCUGUCGCAUACAUCGGAUGAGACUGAGGAAUGCAGCUCGCCUUUAUGGCCGGGGUUCGCCCACGUUCGAGCUUAGGAUGUUGACAUAAUGGCUUUAAACGAC